rnacentral:rRNA from 1 species
UACAGAGGUCUCAAGCGUUGUUCGGAUUCAUUGGGCGUAAAGGGUGCGUAGGUGGCGCCGUAAGUCAGGUGUGAAAUUUCGGAGCUUAACUCCGAAACUGCAUUUGAUACUGCGGUGCUUGAGGACUGGAGAGGAGACUGGAAUUCACGGUGUAGCAGUGAAAUGCGUAGAGAUCGGGAGGAACACCAGUGGCGAAGGCGGCUACCUGGACCAGCACUGACACUGAAGCACGAAAGCGUGGGGAGCAAACAGG